GGAAUAUUGGACAAUGGGCGAAAGCCUGAUCCAGCAAUGCCGCGUGAGUGAUGAAGGCCUUAGGGUUGUAAAGCUCUUUUACCCGGGAUGAUAAUGACAGUACCGGGAGAAUAAGCCCCGGCUAACUCCGUGCCAGCAGACGCGGUAAUACGGAGGGUGCAAGCGUUGUUCGGAAUCAUUGGGCGUAAAGCGCGUGUAGGCGGCUUGGCAAGUCAGUUGUGAAAGCCCGGGGCCCAACCCCGGUACUGCAUCUGAAACUGCCUAGCUAGAGUCCCGGAGAGGAAGGCAGAAUUCCCGGUGUAGGGGUGAAAUCCGUAGAUAUCGGGAGGAAUACCAGCGGCGAAGGCGGCCUUCUGGACGGUGACUGACGCUGAGACGCGAAAGCGUGGGGAGCAAAC
rnacentral:rRNA from 1 species